CCCUCCCUCUCUCCCUCACUGGGCCCCCAAUUUGUUUUGUCUGGAACUCAUCAGUGCACCAAUGGCCUCCAGCAUGGAACAAGGUAGGUGCUGAUGGGGAGAUGGAUUGAGGUAACAUAAUUUGGAAGAAAACCUGCAGCAGGCUGAAAAAGACGUGACUGGAGCCAUGGUUCACUUUCCAGCUAGACGACUAAACACUGUUGAGGCCCAUGGCAGCUUUCUUUUGCCAUCCUGUCAGCCCAAAGCAGAUGUGACAUCACCGCAGCCCGGCGCCGCUCUGCAACCCCCCCUCUCUGAUUCCCCAGCAUCUCUUUCUCCCACGCAUUCCUUCUUUCUCUCUGCCGCUGCACACACAGCCAUUUUGAUCUAACAAACAAAAUCUGUGGGUUCGGAGAGAAGGCCACGGAGGGAUUGAGAAAAAGUGAGAACGGCAGAAGGAACGACGGCCGAGAGACUCAAGCGUUUUAGUGCAACAAAGAUAAGGCUGAGGCUGUGGUGGGGUUGUUGUGUAACAGGAAUUUAAAAAAAAAGAGAGAGAGAGAGAAAAGUGCUUGCUGUUUGACUGCCAUCUUGCUUUAAGUCACUUUUUUUCCCCAAUUGGGGACACUGUGACUUUCUGCAUGAGGUAACGCUGCUGUUCCUGCAGAAAGGCAACAAGGGAAGCAAGAGUCAAAGACGAAGAGAUGAGGGAGGGAUGGGGGGGGGGUCAGAGAGGGAAAGAGAGAGUGGUGAGCAGAGGGGAGCGCAUGCUUGAGUCAGGCUGUUGUGAGGUGGGGGUAUCUUCAGCUCGGAGGCAAUCUAUUUUUACCAUUUAGCCAGAACAAAGGAUGUGAUUGGCUCCUCUGUGUUAGGACAAAUCUCCUUCAUGCAUGGAGCAAAGCCCGAAAAGGGCUGAUUCAUAGCUAAAUCCCAGCAACAGCAGAAUGCCACAGGGUUGCAGAAGAACAAGACAGACGGGAGCAGCCUGUUAUUUAUUAGAACAUGUGCAAAACUCCUCUGUUGCAUCAUGUGAAAUCCUCAUCCAGUAAGCGAAGAAGGAUGACUUCACGAAAUAGAAAGUUUAGCUUUAACUUGAAUUUGUUUGUGCCGUGAAAGUACUCCAGAAGCAUUUCGGGAAAUCUUCCAUCUGCCCUGCCGUGAAAAUGCAAAGUAUGCAAACAUGAUGAUUUGCAGCUCGUGCCUAAGAAGGAAGAGGGAGACUGAAGCAUGCGAGCUUAUCUGUGAGAUCUACCAGCCUAAACUUGUCCUAGCAGGCUGCUCGCAGAAGUGUGAGACUGCAGGCGCAUGCUUAUUUGCAUGGAAGGGUUUGUAGCUUGCAAGUCUUUGAAUGAUGGCAGGUCUUUCUGCUGCACUUUGUUCUUUUAUAUACAUCCCUCAAAAACACAUGGAUGUGAUUAAAAGUUGAUGCUCCACAGUAAUGUCUGGCAGUGAAAGAAGACUGAGAUACUAGGAAAACUACAGAAGGCAGCGAGAAAGCCGGAUGGGAGGCAGGAAAGGGAACAAGUCAAGCAAAGACCUAACACACUGCCUGAUGGGCUAUUGUUAAUGAAUCAAGGCAGCCUCAUUCAAAUGAUUCUGAAGCUCUAAUUCAAUCCGCCUUCUCUGAUUUUCCCAGGAGCAGAUGCUAUAGUUUAAUAUCUGUCUAAUACUCACUCCCUCGUGCCACACAGUCCAUCCCCUUCUCCCACUUUCUCCACAAACAAAGCAGUGAUCUCUCUCUCUCAGUAGAAGAUAAACUGAGACCAAGAAGAAGAAAAAAAAAAGAAAAUAUUUAUGCAUAGUGUGCCAUUUGCUUUUUUAAAAUAGGCCAAAACUAUUUGUUUGCCAAAUAGAGACAUCCAGAAGGAAAGAUUGUAGAGAGUUUCCUUCUGUAUGUGAUGCAAACCGAGUGUGGGAACUCCAUCCAAGCAAGACUUAGAGUAAUUUUUGCAAGUAUCAAUUUUUAAUCUCAGAUGUCAACAUUAAUUACUGUAGAGAGACAUUAAACACACAAAGGUAAAGUGCAAAGUCACACUUAAAAAUAAGUAGCUUAGCUUAAAGCAAAUUCAGCUCUUUUUUUAAUCUUAAGCACCCUCAUUAAUUGUUAAAACUCGCCAAGGGAGAGCGGCUUAAAUGUAUUUCACAGCCCGCGAGUUACUUGAGUCUCAUUCAGGUGUAACCAAGCAUCGGUAGGUUAGACCGAUAACAAGAUUUAUCAAGCUUUUAAAAGGAUGCAAUUUUAAAACGUAAAAAGCAAACAAGAAGAUGUCAUGCUGUCCAUACAGAUUAAAGUCCUUUUAAUGAGAUGAUGGAGGAGGUGCGAGUUGUCUUUAGGUUGUUAAAGGUUGACUAGUCCUUGGCUUUAUUUAGCCAUUAAAAUACAUUGAAAGGGUCCCAUCGUAUUUUUGUCAAAAUAAAGAUAUUAAAGGUCAGCCUCGGUUUGUUAGUUUCUUCUGCCCAACCAACUUUCAACCACAAUUAGACAUUGAUUGACAUCUUUGUGAAGACACAUUUUCGCCUUUCUUUUUUAUUCUCAUGUUGCUCAGACGGAAGGGAAGAACAACUUUUCUUCUAUUCAUCUAGUCGACUAAUUUUGCUCCACUGGAUGUGUCUUGGAAGUUAGAUUGGAUCGGGAAAGGAUGUUACACCCGGGUUUAGCACAAGCUAUUGCAAGUCUAAAAGCCAGUGGGAUUUCCUAAUGUUAAUCCACCAUUACCUGAUAACAUUGUAUUCUGUUCUACUUUAUGCAUUCAAAUAUUAAAAAAUAAAGUUGGAGCUUGA